rnacentral:lncRNA from 1 species
CAGUGGCGAGGCACCAUGGAGUUCCUGCUGCAGCCGAUGCGCGAGUACGUACAUCCUUGCUUGUCUAGCGAUCUCGUCUCUAUUCUUUGUCCCCUGGAUUUAGUGAUUGACAGGAUUUGGUUUCGGCCUGAAUCAGAUCCACUUUCCCUGGAGGAGGUUGCAGAGAGCUUGGUGCCGCCCCCUGUGUCGGCAGCGGCGACGGGAGGCGAUAUGGUGGCGGAGCAGGAACGGGCAGUGUACAGCGCCGAAGCUCAGAUCUUGGCGGCCAGGGUAGCGGCGGCCACGGACAGGAGAGACAGCUCACCCCCGACGUCGAAGUUGUCAACUGGGAAGAUGAAUCCCCG